UGCCCCAACACAAAUGGCUUUUACAAAAUCACAGAAUCAUCUAGGUUGGAAAGGAUAUUGAAGAUCAUCUACUCAAACCGUUAACCUAUCACUGACAGUUCCCAACUACACCAGAUCCCUCAGCACUGUGUCGACCCAACUCUUAAGCACCUCCAAGCAUGGGGACUCCACCACCU